rnacentral:ncRNA from 1 species
UUACCGGCGUCGAGAGGCGACGGGAUGGACUACCAGACGUUAGCAGAGGCCAUAGUAAGCGUGGAGGAAGUGCCGUUCCUGCAACUCGAGGGC